rnacentral:lncRNA from 1 species
AGAAUCAUUACCAUCAGGCUUUUUGCUGUAAGCACGGUCUUUUCAGAGAAAAUGCUGUGUUUACAUUACAUCCUAGGGAUAACUUCACUGGCCACUCCUUAGAUGACUGUUAGAGAUCCUUCCUGGGUCAUGGCUGCCUAAAAUGCAUCCAAACAUUCAGUGUCUCCUCCCUCUGCAUGCAGACACUGAACUUUCCUCAUAGAGAUUCAUUAAUUAAAUUCAUCUAUAUGAGGAGAUGCUG